rnacentral:tRNA from 1 species
GAGUGGAUAGCUCAAUGGUAGAGCGCAUUUUUUGCCCUCACGGGCCGAAUGAAUGAAGGUUAUCGCUGAAAUCGAUCCCCCCUUUGUUCAGCCGAAAUGCGGGUUCAAGUCCCGCUCCACUCC